GGACCUUCCUCUCAGAACCCCUAUCCAUCGUCGGUUUGGUGGGCCGUUACCCCGCCAACUGCCUAAUGGAACGCAUGCCUAUCUAUCAGCGAUGAAUCUUUAGCAAAUAUUCCCAUGCGGGAUCCCUGCUUCAUGCGGUAUUAGUCCGACUUUCGCCGGGUUAUCCCCCUCUGAUAGGCAAGUUGC
rnacentral:rRNA from 1 species